rnacentral:rRNA from 1 species
GAUGAACGCUAGCUACAGGCUUAACACAUGCAAGUCGAGGGGCAGCAUUGGAGUAGCAAUACUUCAGAUGGCGACCGGCGCACGGGUGAGUAACACGUAUCCAACCUGCCGCUUACUCGGGGAUAGCCUUUCGAAAGAAAGAUUAAUACCCGAUGGUAUAAAGAGUUCGCAUGUUCUCUUUAUUAAAGAAUUUCGGUAAGCGAUGGGGAUGCGUUCCAUUAGAUAGUUGGCGGGGUAACGGCCCACCAAGUCUACGAUGGAUAGGGGUUCUGAGAGGAAGGUCCCCCACAUUGGAACUGAGACACGGUCCAAACUCCUACGGGAGGCAGCAGUGAGGAAUAUUGGUCAAUGGACGCGAGUCUGAACCAGCCAAGUAGCGUGAAGGAUGACUGCCCUAUGGGUUGUAAACUUCUUUUAUAAGGGAAUAAAGUGAGGGACGUGUCCCUUUUUGUAUGUACCUUAUGAAUAAGGAUCGGCUAACUCCGUGCCAGCCGCCGCCGUAACAC